rnacentral:rRNA from 1 species
UCCUCCCGAGUGCUUGCACUCAAUUGGAAAGAGGAGUGGCGGACGGGUGAGUAACACGUGGGUAACCUACCCAUCAGAGGGGGAUAACACUUGGAAACAGGUGCUAAUACCGCAUAACAGUUUAUGCCGCAUGGCAUAAGAGUGAAAGGCGCUUUCGGGUGUCGUUGAUGGAUGGACCCGCGGUGCAUUAGCUAGUUGGUGAGGUAACGGCUCACCAAGGCCACGAUGCAUAGCCGACCUGAGAGGGUGAUCGGCCACACUGGGACUGAGACACGGCCCAGACUCCUACGGGAGGCAGCAGUAGGGAAUCUUCGGCAAUGGACGAAAGUCUGACCGAGCAACGCCGCGUGAGUGAAGAAGGUUUUCGGAUCGUAAAACUCUGUUGUUAGAGAAGAACAAGGACGUUAGUAACUGAACGUCCCCUGACGGUAUCUAACCAGAAAGCCACGGCUAACUACGUGCCAGCAGCCGCGGUAAUACGUAGGUGGCAAGCGUUGUCCGGAUUUAUUGGGCGUAAAGCGAGCGCAGGCGGUUUCUUAAGUCUGAUGUGAAAGCCCCCGGCUCAACCGGGGAGGGUCAUUGGAAACUGGGAGACUUGAGUGCAGAAGAGGAGAGUGGAAUUCCAUGUGUAGCGGUGAAAUGCGUAGAUAUAUGGAGGAACACCAGUGGCGAA